GUAUACAUACCAUGUACCACGUCCGGGUCUGCGUCGACAUCCUUCUGGGUAAGGUUGUAAACUCUGCCCUGGAUUGGAGGCCUCCCUUGAUUUUGGUUCCUAGGGCACUCCCUCGCAUAGUGCUGGGCACUGCCGCAUAUGCAACAGGUGUUGUUGAGGCGGUAGCAGGGUCGGUCCCCAUGAUCCCUACCGCAGUACUGGCAGAUCUUCC
rnacentral:lncRNA from 1 species